UACGUAGGUGGCAAGCGUUGUCCGGAUUUAUUGGGUUUAAAGGGUGCGUAGGCGGCCUUGUAAGUCAGUGGUGAAAUACUCUAGCUUAACUAGAGGGGUGCCAAUGAUACUGCAGGGCUUGAGUACAGAUGAGGUAGGCGGAAUUGACGGUGUAGCGGUGAAAUGCAUAGAUAUCGUCAAGAACACCUAUAGCGAAGGCAGCUUACUGGGCUGUAACUGACGCUGAGGCACGAAAGCGUGGGGAGCGAACAGG
rnacentral:rRNA from 1 species